UUCUUUCAUCAUCUCUAAAAAAACACAAACUCUCUCUCUACUUCCUUCUACAAAUCCCAGCGGCAGGACUCACUUUGUCUCUCUAGAGUUUCAGUUGGCAGUGAAAUAAGCACAAUCUUCCUCCUCUCCUUCUAAUCGUAGCUGUUUUUUCCAACUUCUGCCUCCGAUACUCCGUUCUCGAGUGCUAACAACCUCCAAUCAUCCAUUGAGCAUUGGAUCUAUGAUCCUCAUCACGAAAAAUCGUCGAUUAAGUUGGAUUAUUUUGAGCUCUGACCACGUACCCAUCAACCACCGCGCCGGAAUUGGUCGCUCGAUGGCGCCUCCGUGGGUAUGAAUUUUUUUAUGAAAUUCUUGUAUUAUUCUUUUUCUAUUUAAGUUAUUAAAUUAAUUUUAAAUUUUCUACUAACUGAUUUUUUCUUGGUUGAGCUCAAGAAUGACAAAAUGAAAGCUAUUGAAACUAAAUUACUGACUACUUGUUAGAUUUUUAGAUAUUAGAUUAGAUUGUAAUAUACCCUAAUCUCACCACUUUGUUAUUUUUUAAAGGGUUAAUAGGCCUUUACCUCCUGUAAAUUGGGUCACUUUUGGUUUUGCCUCCUGUAAAAAACUUUAUAAAUUUUUUUUUUUUGUUUUGGAAAACUCCCUUAGACCAACUGACUGUGCAUUUUUGCUGAUGUGGCGCGUUGACUGUAUAAUUAUUUUCAUGGGGUACAAGUGACAUUUAUGAUUUUUUUUUACAAAUAAAAAAUUCUUAAAAAAUUUAAAAAAACGAAAAAAUAUUAUAAAAAAUAAAAUAAAUUCUGGAAAAAUAAAAAUAUUAAUAAAAAUGAUUAAAAAAACGAAAAUAAUUAUGGAAAAAUAAAUAAAAAUCUGGAAAAUUUUAAAAAUUCUAGUAAAAUUUAAUAAAAAAAUCUGGAAAAAUAAAAAAAAUUUAUCAAAAUUUUCAAAAAAAUUAUUUAAAAAAAUCUGAAUUAAAUUAAAAUUAUAAAAAAAAUUAAUAUAUAUCGAAAUUCUAUUCUUCAUGAUCUAAUGUUAUGUUUUUUUAAUUAUGAAUAUACUUUCCAAUAUUUUUAUUUUCUGUAUAAAAAAUAAAAAAAAUAAACUUUUUAAUUUCGAAAGAAGAAACUGAACUUUCAUUUUUAAUUCUAUUCUUAUUAGAUUCAUAAAUUUUGAAAUAUUUUAAGUUGCUGAAUUUUUAUUUUUUUAUAAAAUAAAACUUCUUAAUUUCGAAAAAAAAAAUAUGAAUUUUUUUUAUUUUUCCAGAAUUUUUAAAUUUUUCCUCUAUUGAAAAUUAUAUGGAAAUAUGAAUUUUUUGAAAUAUAUUAAUUUUUCCAGAUAUUAUUUUAUUAAAUUUUCUAUAUUUUUUUCAUUUUACCAGAUUUUUUAAAUUAUUCCAGUAUUUUUUUUACUAAAUUUUCUAUAUUUUUUCAUUAUUUUUCAUUUACCAGAUUUUUAUUAAUUUUUCCAUAAUUAUUUUCGUUUUUUAAUCAUUUUUAUUAAUAUUUUUAUUUUUCUAGAAUUUAUUUCAUUUUUUUAUAAUAUUUUUUCGUUUUUUUUAAUUUUUUUAAUUUUUUAAAAAAAAUAAUCAUUAAUGCCACGUGUACCCCAUAAAAAAAUUAUACAGUCAGCGUGCCACGUCAUCCAAAAAGGGUGACGCAGCAUGCCACAUCAGCAAAAAUGCACAAUUAGCUAGUCUAGGGGGGUUUUCCAAAACAAAAAGUUUUUACAAGGACCGAAUCCAAAUUUUUUUUUUUACAGGGGGCAAAACCAAAAGUAAAUAUUACAGGGAGUUAAAGGAGUUAAAGCCCUGUUAACCCUUUUUUAAAUAAUGAAGUUUAAUUUAUUGAUAAGGGAAUUAAUCAAGAGAAUUAGUAAUCGAAAAAGAAAAUACUAAACAAAACACAUCCCAAUUUUGUGCUUCUUGCCCAUUACUUAAUUAUAUGCAUCGCAACACAUUAUGAGUAUCUUUGGCUCACUCAUUAAUAGAAAAUGUUUAUUUGAUACCAAGUCAAAAUACUUUUGAUUAGCUUAUAAAUAUUUUUACUGAAAAUAGUGUUUUAUUACUAACUCUUGUAUCCUCAUAUACUUUUUUGUGUAUGCAUAUACAGUUUUAAGCUAGCUCUCUACACUUGUUUGAAUAUGAGCACCUGAUUUAAAUCUAACUAACCAUAUUUAAUUUAAUUUAAUUGAUUAGAUGCUUGUGGAAGGUAAAUAAACACAAUUCAAAACAGUUUAGGAUUGACCCUCCAUCACUUUUAUAUUACAUAUGAAUCAAGUUUUAUUGCAUUGAAAUGAGCAGAAAUGUGAAAAUACCUUCAGGCUUUUGCUAAAACACCUGUUAACAACCUAAAUUAUUUUUGUUGGAAUUUCAAAAGGGUUUAAUUGGUUCAUCGAAUUGGUAUCUCUCUCUCAAGUUCCAAAUCCAACCAAAAGAUAUAGAAAGGGCAUUCGACUUCAAGGUUUUUUUUCUUCUGCCAUAAACCAACUACAGACUAACAAAUAUAUUCAUGUAUGCUUCUUUUAUGGCAUUCAACUGUGUUAAAAAGUGUGCGUAUGUAUUAUUGCUUAAAAUCAUUGUUUAUUUGAGUAGGUGAUGAAGAGAUACAACAUUAUUUAUAAUCAAUGUUGAUUUAAUAUUUUUUUUCUCUAACUCAUUACCAAACCCUGUAAAGUUACUUCUCAACUUUUAAAAUAAAUAAAAUGAUAUUAUGCUUAAAAAUCAUUCUUUUUGCUCAGAUUGCAUAAAAAAACAUAAAAAGUCACAAAUUUUCUUUAUUCUCUUUAAUACAUUUGUCCGUUAACUUGCAUUUUGUACAGUUGAGCAAAAAUAUUGCUUCCUUAGUAGAAUCUUUGGUAUUUGAAGACCAAAGACUUCCUAUAGUAUCUAGUGAUUAAAAUUUCAAAACCUUGAUUACUUCAGGUCCAUCGGUGAUACGAAAUUAUGGGUAGGUUAUUAUGAUAUAUGCAGCUAUGAAGGAUUCUAUUGUGAAAACCCACCAGGUAACAAAUUCGCUAUUGCUUAAGCCUCAAUUGAUUUCAAUAGUUUCCAACUAAAUGCUCCUACCCUUGAUGGUUUUAUUAAUAAACUUCCUGAUGUUACUCUUAUUUUAUCCAUGCAAAUACCACCAAUUUCAUUGGCACAAUCACAUCUCAAAUCACCAAACUUCCUUAUCUUUAUGAACAAUUUCAAUAGUUGUUAUGGGCAUGAACUCUUAUCUUGCACAUAUACAAUUUAAAAAGAAACAAUUUUCAUUUGCUAAAUUUCAGCCUGAAUUCAUUGUAGGUUUAUAUUUUAAAGCUUGUUGAUGAACGCAAUGCUAUUUUUGAAAAUGUUGGGAUUUGAGAAUGUGGCGAAGAAUGAAAGGAACAAAGGAUUUUAGAAUAGUAAUGAUGAACAAAAACAUUAAGUUUUCAUUUUCUAUCCAAUACUUCU
rnacentral:lncRNA from 1 species